AUUGAACGCUGGCGGCAGGCCUAACACAUGCAAGUCGAGCGGAUGAAGGGAGCUUGCUCCUGGAUUCAGCGGCGGACGGGUGAGUAAUGCCUAGGAAUCUGCCUGGUAGUGGGGGAUAACGUCCGGAAACGGGCGCUAAUACCGCAUACGUCCUGAGGGGGAAAGUGGGGGAUCUUCGGACCUCACGCUAUCAGAUGAGCCUAGGUCGGAUUAGCUAGUUGGUGGGGUGAAGGCCUACCAAGGCGACGAUCCGUAACUGGUCUGAGAGGAUGAUCAGUCACACUGGAACUGAGACACGGUCCAGACUCCUACGGGAGGCAGCAGUGGGGAAUAUUGGACAAUGGGCGAAAGCCUGAUCCAGCCAUGCCGCGUGUGUGAAGAAGGUCUUCGGAUUGUAAAGCACUUUAAGUUGGGAGGAAGGGCAGUAAGUUAAUACCUUGCUGUUUUGACGUUACCAACAGAAUAAGCACCGGCUAACUUCGUG
rnacentral:rRNA from 1 species